AAUGUAUGAGACUGGCAUUAUCACAGUUCUAUGGAUGAGGCAGGUGGAGCCCAGAGAUAUCCCCUGAUCCAGCUGAGGCCAGUUGCUGGUCUGUUUUCUCAAGCCUCUACCUGAUUGGAUAAGAUGAAGUUUAGAAGGAGGACCUGACCAUUGGCCCCUGACUACCUGUCUUUGAGGGAAGAAAUAUUAUCUUCUGCUUAAUCCUGGAUACUAUAUCCAAAGGCAGAGUGUUAAUUCUAAAGCUGAAAGCUUCUGAAAAAUAAAUGGUGUCAUGGCAUGAUGUUAGAAAAUUUUUCAAAUGAUGGUUCUUCACAUUCGAAGAAUUGGAAUUCAAUAACUGGUUUGAGCAACACAAGUAAUAUUAUAUUAUAAGGAAAAGCAAUUCAGGAGAAAGAUCAUGAAUAUAACAGUUUGAGGGAAAUGUCUAAUCUCAGCUCAAAUCUUUUUAAAUAGCUGAGAGUUUCUGGAAGAUAAAGACCUCAUAAUUAUGACACAGAUGGAUAAUUUUGCUUCAGUAGAUUUUUUUA